AAGAUCUCAAGUGCCCACCAGAUUGCCUAUCAGCUACAACUGUUAAAAUCAUCUAUUCCUCUGUUUCAGAGUGCCUUAUUCCUCUUUCCCGGAUAGGUCUUUGCCAUACCUCCACCUUAGACUGUCUUCUCUUCUGGCCCUCGUUAGCUUGCCUUUUGCUAUCUCUAGGAGCUAUGGACAAGCGCCCCGGAAGCAGGCCAAGAUUUGUGGUUAUGAUUCAGAAGAAGUUAGCAGCAUAGAGUGGGAGUUCAUCAACAUGACGGACAAGAAGAGGAUCUCAUCUACAGAAUGUAUAGGUUGGUGGCGACAGGUGGGCUUUGAUAGCAGGCCGCAUCCCGGGCCGUAAGCCAGAAGAGAUAGAGAGGUUCUGGAUAAUGAGGCAUGAUGAAGCAUUUGCUGAGAAGAGACAGUUAAGGGAGCCAGCAGAGGUGGGCUUGGGAGAUUAGGAUGAGGCAGAAGUGCACCCUUCUCCCUUUUGUUUUAGUUGGGUUAGAGCCGUUAGAGUAUGUAAUUUUUUUUGUAUUGCAUUUUCUUUUUGUUCCUUGUGAGAGAGAAAGUGUGUAGUAUUUUUCAUUUUAUUGAUCCAGCCCGUGCGAAAGAGGCCAACAUUGUGAUUAAUUGUUUCGGGCUUCGAGAUUAGAGCCCAGAAUUGCUUUAGUCACCAAUCAGUUUUAAGACUCA